CUUGAGGUUGCGGCUUGGGAUGCCCUCCUCCAGGACAUCGCACUCCUUCCUAUAGACGUUGCCGACUCCCCGGACGUCAUCUCUUGGCGACUGGAACCCUCCGGCUGUUUCUCCACCAAAUCUCUCUACGCGGCUAUCGCCCCAUCGACGGCCCCCGAGCCCUUUAGUUUGAUUUGGGACAUCCGCCUGCCCCUGAAGAUUAGGAUCUUCCUGUGGCAAUGGAUCCGCGGCCGCCUCCCGUCCGGAGUUGAGGUCCUUAAGAGUCAUGGACCUGGAGAUGGGAUGUGCCCCAUGUGCGGCACGGUAGAGGAUGCCAACCACAUCUUCUUCUCGUGCUACACGGCACAGUUCCUCUGGUCCUGUUUUCGUGAAACGGUUGGGGGCCAGUGGUGCAACACCAACUUCCCUGACCUGCUUGCGGAAAUUCAAACCUCACCCCCUCGCUACAGGCAUAUUAGAUGGCUGUGCGUGGGGGUCCUUGCCUAG
rnacentral:rRNA from 1 species